rnacentral:rRNA from 1 species
UACGGAGGGUGCAAGCGUUGUCCGGAAUCAUUGGGCGUAAAGGGCGCGUAGGUGGCCCGGUCAGUUCGUGGUGAAAGCGCGGGGCUCAACCCUGCGUCGGCCAUGAAUACUGCCGCGGCUGGAGCACUGUAGAGGCAGGCGGAAUUCCGGGUGUAGCGGUGGAAUGCGUAGAGAUCCGGAAGAACACCGGUGGCGAAGGCGGCCUGCUGGGCAGUUGCUGGACACUGAGGCGCGACAGCGUGGGGAGCAAACAGG